AUAUGAUAAUUGAUAAUUAAAAAAAUAUAAAAGAAAAAAAAAUCAAAAUAGAGGGUAUGAAAAAUUUUAUUGAAAAUGUAAAACAAUAACAGAGUAAUUGAUAUAGCAUUAAAAAUUUUAGUGAGCAUAUAAAAUAAUAAAGUAGGAGAAUUAUGAAAGUAUCGGGAAUUAAAAGGAAUGUAGAAAAUAGUUAUUUAGAAAAUUUGAGAGAAA
rnacentral:misc_RNA from 1 species